GGAAGAUUGGCAGAGAGGACUAUUGCCGCUGCCUUGAAAGCAGAUCGGUCGGGCGAUCCCCGGCGCGAGGGUUCGAAUCCUUCAUCUUCCA